rnacentral:rRNA from 1 species
AAGUGGUAGCCGCUUUUAUUGGGCCUAAAGCGUCCGUAGCCGGUCUGAUAAGUCUCUGGUGAAAUCCCACAGCUUAACUGUGGGAAUUGCUGGAGAUACUAUCAUGACUCGAGGUCGGGAGAGGCUGGAGGUACUCCCAGGGUAGGGGUGAAAUCCUGUAAUCCUGGGAGGACCACCUGUGGCGAAGGCGUCCAGCUGGAACGAACCUGACGGUGAGGGACGAAAGCCAGGGGCGCGAACCGGAUUAGAUACC